GAUGAACGCUGGCGGCGUGCCUAAUACAUGCAAGUCGAGCGGAAAGGCCUCUUCGGAGGUACUCGAGCGGCGGACGGCUGAGUAACGCGUAGGGACGUACCCCAAACUGAGGGAUAACUGCUCGAAAGAGUAGCUAAUACCGCAUGUGCUCUACGGAGUAAAGCUUCGGCGGUUUGGGAACGGCCUGCGUAAGAUUAGCUUGUUGGUAAGGUAAUGGCUUACCAAGGCGACGAUCUUUAGCUGGUCUGAGAGGAUGAUCAGCCAGACUGGGACUGAGACACGGCCCAGACGCCUACGGGAGGCAGCAGUAGGGAAUUUUCCACAAUGGGCGAAAGCCUGAUGGAGCAACGCCGCGUGCAGGAUGAAUGCCUUCGGGUUGUAAACUGCUUUUAUAAGUGAAGAAUAUGACGGUAACUUAUGAAUAAGGAUCGGCUAACUCCGUGCCAGCAGCCGCCGUAA
rnacentral:rRNA from 1 species